UACGUAGGGUCCGAGCGUUGUCCGGAAUUACUGGGCGUAAAGAGCUCAUAGGUGGUUUGUCGCGUUGUUCGUGAAAACUCACAGCUCAACUGUGGGCGUGCGGGCGAUACGGGCAGACUAGAGUACUGCAGGGGAGACUGGAAUUCCUGGUGUAGCGGUGGAAUGCGCAGAUAUCAGGAGGAACACCGGUGGCGAAGGCGGGUCUCUGGGCAGUAACUGACGCUGAGGAGCGAAAGCGUGGGGAGCGAACAGG
rnacentral:rRNA from 1 species